GAAUAAUUAACUCAAUGGUAGAGUAUUUCGUUUACACCGAAAACGUUAGCGGUUCGAAUCCGUUAUUAUUCA
rnacentral:tRNA from 1 species